CAAUAGCGUAUAUUAAAGUUGUUGCAGUUAAAAGCUCGUAGUUGGAUUUCUGGCUGGAGCGAUCGGUCCGCCCCGCAAGGGGUGUGUACUAGCGUCGUCUCCGACCAUCCUUGUGGGAACUGUGCGGCCGUUAACUCGGUUGUAUAUGGGAACACAUCGUUUACUGUGAAAAAUUAGAGUGUUUAAAGCAGGCUUAAGCCGUUGAAUACAUUAGCAUGGAAUAAUAAGAUAAGACUUGGGUCAUUAUUUUGUUGGUUUUGCGGAUCGAGGUAAUGAUUAAUAGGGAUAGUUGGGGGCAUUCGUAUUAACGCGUCAGAGGUGGAAUUCUUGGAUUGCGUUACGACGAACUACUGCGAAAGCAUUUGCCAAGGAUGUUUUCAUUUGAUCAAGAACGAAAGUUAGGGGAAUCGAAGACGAUCAGAUACCAU
rnacentral:rRNA from 1 species